rnacentral:rRNA from 1 species
UACGAAGGAUCCAAGCGUUAUCCGGAUUUAUUGGGUUUAAAGGGUGCGUAGGCGGCUUUUUAAGUCAGUGGUGAAAGCUCCAUGCUUAACAUGGAAAUUGCCAUUGAUACUGAAGAGCUUGAGUACAUUUGAAGUGGGCGGAAUAUGUCAUGUAGAGGUGAAAUUCUUAGAGAUGACAUAGAACACCGAUUGCGAAGGCAGCUCACUAAACUGUAACUGACGCUGAGGCACGAAAGCGUGGGGAGCAAACAGG